rnacentral:rRNA from 1 species
GACGUAGGGCGCGAGCGUUGUCCGGAUUUAUUGGGCGUAAAGAGCUCGUAGGCGGCUUGUUACGUCGACUGUGAAAUCCCGCGGCUCAACUGCGGGCUUGCAGCUGAUACGGGCAGGCUAGAGUUCGGUAGGGGAGACUGGAAUUCCUGGUGUAGCGGUGAAAUGCGCAGAUAUCAGGAGGAACACCGGUGGCGAAGGCGGGUCUCUGGGCCGAUACUGACGCUGAGGAGCGAAAGCGUGGGGAGCGAACAGG